GAAUUUAGCAGAGAUGCUUUAGUGCCUUCGGGAACUCUGAGACAGGUGCUGCAUGGCUGUCGUCAGCUCGUGUUGUGAAAUGUUGGGUUAAGUCCCGCAACGAGCGCAACCCUUAUCCUUUGUUGCCAGCACGUAAUGGUGGGAACUCAAAGGAGACUGCCGGUGAUAAACCGGAGGAAGGUGGGGAUGACGUCAAGUCAUCAUGGCCCUUACGAGUAGGGCUACACACGUGCUACAAUGGCGCAUACAAAGAGAAGCGACCUCGCGAGAGCAAGCGGACCUCAUAAAGUGCGUCGUAGUCCGGAUUGGAGUCUGCAACUCGACUCCAUGAAGUCGGAAUCGCUAGUAAUCGUAAAUCAGAAUGUUACGGUGAAUACGUUCCCGGGCCUUGUACACACCGCCCGUCACACCAUGGGAGUGGGUUGCAAAAGAAGUAGAUAGCUUAACCUUCGGGAGGGCGUUUACCACUUUGUGAUUCAUGACUGGGGUGAAGUCGUAACAAGGUAGGCGUAGCGAG
rnacentral:rRNA from 1 species